rnacentral:rRNA from 1 species
CAGCCGCCGCGGUAAUACAGAGGGUGCGAGCGUUAAUCGGAUUUACUGGGCGUAAAGCGUGCGUAGGCGGCUUCUUAAGUCGGAUGUGAAAUCCCUGAGCUUAACUUAGGAAUUGCAUUCGAUACUGGGAAGCUAGAGUAUGGGAGAGGAUGGUAGAAUUCCAGGUGUAGCGGUGAAAUGCGAAGAGAUCUGGAGGAAUACCGAUGGCGAAGGCAGCCAUCUGGCCUAAUACUGACGCUGAGGUACAAAAGCAUGGGGAGCAAACAGGAUUAGAUACCCCCGUAGUCCCUGUCUCUUAUAC